rnacentral:rRNA from 1 species
UGGCGACCGGCGCACGGGUGAGUAACACGUAUCCAACCUGCCGUCUACUCUUGGACAGCCUUCUGAAAGGAAGAUUAAUACAAGAUGGCAUCAUGAGUCCGCAUGUUCACAUGAUUAAAGGUAUUCCGGUAGACGAUGGGGAUGCGUUCCAUUAGAUAGUAGGCGGGGUAACGGCCCACCUAGUCUUCGAUGGAUAGGGGUUCUGAGAGGAAGGUCCCCCACAUUGGAACUGAGACACGGUCCAAACUCCUACGGGAGGCAGCAGUGAGGAAUAUUGGUCAAUGGGCGAGAGCCUGAACCAGCCAAGUAGCGUGAAGGAUGACUGCCCUAUGGGUUGUAAACUUCUUUUAUAAAGGAAUAAAGUCGGGUAUGCAUACCCGUUUGCAUGUACUUUAUGAAUAAGGAUCGGCUAACUCCGUGCCAGCAGCCGCGGUAAUACGGAGGAUCCGAGCGUUAUCCGGAUUUAUUGGGUUUAAAGGGAGCGUAGAUGGAUGUUUAAGUCAGUUGUGAAAGUUUGCGGCUCAACCGUAAAAUUGCAGUUGAUACUGGAUAUCUUGAGUGCAGUUGAGGCAGGCGGAAUUCGUGGCGUAGCGGUGAAAUGCUUAGAUAUCACGAAGAACUCCGAUUGCGAAGGCAGC